rnacentral:rRNA from 1 species
GUCAAGUCAUCAUGGCCCUUAUGUCCAGGGCUACACACGUGCUACAAUGGGGGGUACAAAGCGCAGCGAGCCCGCGAGGGCCGAGCGAACCGCCGAAAGCCCCCCGUAGUCCGGAUUGAAGUCUGAAACCCGACUUCAUGAAGUUGGAAUCGCUAGUAAUCGCGCAUCAGCAUGGCGCGGUGAAUACGUUCCCGGGCCUU